rnacentral:rRNA from 1 species
GAUGAACGCUGGCGGCGUGCCUAAUACAUGCAAGUCGAGCGAACAGACGAGGAGCUUGCUCCUCUGACGUUAGCGGCGGACGGGUGAGUAACACGUGGAUAACCUACCUAUAAGACUGGGAUAACUUCGGGAAACCGGAGCUAAUACCGGAUAAUAUAUUGAACCGCAUGGUUCAAUAGUGAAAGACGGUUUUGCUGUCACUUAUAGAUGGAUCCGCGCCGCAUUAGCUAGUUGGUAAGGUAACGGCUUACCAAGGCAACGAUGCGUAGCCGACCUGAGAGGGUGAUCGGCCACACUGGAACUGAGACACGGUCCAGACUCCUACGGGAGGCAGCAGUAGGGAAUCUUCCGCAAUGGGCGAAAGCCUGACGGAGCAACGCCGCGUGAGUGAUGAAGGUCUUCGGAUCGUAAAACUCUGUUAUUAGGGAAGAACAAAUGUGUAAGUAACUAUGCACGCCUUGACGGUACCUAAGCAGAAAGCCACGGCUAACUACGU